GUCCGACGGUGCUGCGUUCCGAGGCUGCGGGUUGGGGUCGCGGUCGGACGUGCGGAGGUCUAACUUUUCAGGGAGAGCAAUGGGGAAGGCGCCUGGAACAGGCAGAGGAGGCUGGCUGGGCUCUGCUGCUUCCCAACAGCUCAGUGCAGCUCCCAGAGGAGAUGAAUGAGUUAGUCACUCACUGAGCUCACAGCUGAAGCAUCUCAGCCUCCAUGAGAAUUUGUCACCAGCCCUUCCUGGGCUGCUGAGUACCCAGAAGAAGGGGAGAGACUGGGGAUUUGGGGGAUAUGCUUCCUGUGCUGGCUGACGGCGCGGGCAGCAACCACUGCGAGGUCAUGGGGCUGUUCUUCACCUCAAGGAGCAAGGGUGGCAUGGAGCUCACCAGUGCUUAUGGUCCCAACUGAUUCCCACUGCAUAGGAGUUUGUAUGUUGAGAAAGGGGGCGCCAGGGAGCUUUCUAGGGAUUUCCCUGUGAGAUUCAGGAGCUGGGAGUUUUCCCCAGUUUCCACCCGUCCUUGCAGCAAUGCCUUUUGCUCACAUGCUCCUCCCAGGGUCAUAAGUGGUUCUUAAAAAAAAGCAACAGCCCACACAAUGCUCUUCCCUUCCCUAGCCGGGUGCUGCUGACGAGAUACCUCAUCCGGUCCUGAGGGUACAGAAUUAGCCCUCCACAUGGGAAAGGCCCUGCCAAUCCUGGCCACCAGCUUCAACACCCCAGGGCUACGAGGUCAGCAGCACGUCACUGCUAUGCAUCCUACACGUGUAUCCUCCAGUCCCUUCCAAAGGCCUGAUGCAAGAUGUUGCUAUUCCUACUCUGCUUGUGGGAUUUCUUGGAGGUCACAUUGCUGGUGCUGAUGUCAAGUGAUGUUUUCCUUGACGUGCAAGGAAGGAAGGAAGCCCAAACUCGGAUGUUUAUUUGUUCUGUCCUGGCCGAUGUUCCCUUGGUCGUGCUCCAGUGGCCGAUAAACUGGCAGGGAAGCAGAGCGUGGAGCACGGCAGAGCCUGGGAAAGGCCGGGACCCCCGCUUCCCCUGCCCUUACGUCAUGGUUUCUCUCUGAUUAGCUUGGCCUGGGGGCUGCCAGCUGCCUUCACUCCCUUGUCUCCUCCAUGCCGCCUGUGCUUGUCAACAUGUCCCUAUACCUGAGAUGUGGGUGGGAAGCAUGGGAAGGCAGCACAAGGCUGGACCAGCAGCAUGAUGGUGGGAUGCCUGGAGCUGGUAGGGGUGGAGAUCAAGAAGAAAGUGCUGGAACACCACAAGUGACAAGCUCUGCCUGGUUUAUGGGACCUUUAUGAGGGGAGCAGUGCAGGUAUCUGCAAGGAUAGCAUCUCCCUGAAGUCCCAGCCUUUUCUUCUGAGUCCUGUGAAGUGGCUGGAACCUGUGCUUCAUCCUGGUUUGAUCCCUAAGGGAUCAAGGAAUGGGGGCCUUGUGAGCACCAUGUGUGGAGAGGGGCUAAAGACCCCUUCCCACUCCCUUUCUAACCAAGAUUUCCACCUGAAAAAAAAAUCUUCCUAGCAAAUUAAAACAAGGUGG
ensembl:lncRNA